rnacentral:rRNA from 1 species
CGCGGCCUAUCAGCUUGUUGGUGGGGUGAUGGCCUACCAAGGCGACGACGGGUAGCCGGCCUGAGAGGGCGACCGGCCACACUGGGACUGAGACACGGCCCAGACUCCUACGGGAGGCAGCAGUGGGGAAUAUUGCGCAAUGGGCGAAAGCCUGACGCAGCGACGCCGCGUGGGGGAUGAAGGCCUUCGGGUUGUAAACCUCUUUCAGCAGGGAAGAAGCGUGAGUGACGGUACCUGCAGAAGAAGCACCGGCUAACUACGUGCCAGCAGCCGCGGUAAUACGUAGGGUGCAAGCGUUGUCCGGAUUUAUUGGGCGUAAAGAGCUCGUAGGCGGUUUGUCGCGUCUGCUGUGAAAACUCGGGGCUUAACUCCGGGCCUGCAGUGGGUACGGGCAGACUAGAGUGCGGUAGGGGAGACUGGAAUUCCUGGUGUAGCGGUGAAAUGCGCAGAUAUCAGGAGGAACACCGGUGGCGAAGGCGGGUCUCUGGGCCGUAACUGACGCUGAGGAGCGAAAGCGUGGGGAGCGAACAGGAUUAGAUACCCUGGUAGUCCACGCCGUAAACGUUGGGCGCUAGGUGUGGGGCUCUUUCCACGAGUUCCGUGCCGCAGCAAACGCAUUAAGCGCCCCGCCUGGGGA